CGUUCUAUGGCCGAACUGGUGAAGGCAUCGCCUGUUACAGGCGAAGAUGCGGGUUCGAGUCCCGCUGGAACGG
rnacentral:tRNA from 1 species